AUUGAACGCUGGCGGCAGGCCUAACACAUGCAAGUCGAACGAGUGGCGGACGGGUGAGUAAUGUCUGGGAAACUGCCUGAUGGCGGGGGCUAACUACUGGAAACGGUAGCUAAUACCGCAUACCCUCGGAUGUGCCCAUAUGGGCUUAGCUAGUAGGUGGGGUAAAGGCGCACCUAGGCGACGAUCCCUAGCUGGUCUUAGAGGAUGACCAGCCACGCUGGAAAUGAGACACGGACAAGACUCCUACGGGAGGCAGCAUGGGGGAAUAUUGCACAAGGGGCGCAAGCCUGAUGCAGCCAUGCCGCGUGUAUGAAGAAGGCGUUAGGGUGGUAAAGUACGUUCAGCGGGGAGGCGUUACCCGCAGAAGAAGCAACGGCUAACUCCGUGCCAGCAGCCGCGGUAAUUC
rnacentral:rRNA from 1 species